rnacentral:lncRNA from 1 species
GCGACCACGCAGGCUCGAGUUGUAGAUGGAGCCGGCACAUCGUCUGAAGUAGCUGCUGAGGUAACAUGAAAUGACAUUAGGGUUUUUUCUACUAUUUUUUUCUACACAAAGAAACCUAGGGUGUGGUAUUUUACACAGUUGCACAAGAACCAGCUAGGUGUUGGGUUGGCAUCCUGAACUUUUAUAGUUGCACAAGAAUGAAUUAGGAGUUGGUAUCCUCAACUUUUCAAAUAGUUGCACAACAAUAUCGUACGAGUUGGCAUCCUAGACUUUCAUAGAUGCACCAGAACCAUUUGGGAGUUGGCAGUCUCAACUUUUUAAAUAGUCCCACAACAAUAUCACAUGAGUUGGCAUCCACAACAAUUUUAGUUGCACAAGAACCAAUCGGUAGUUGGCAUGCCCAACCUUUUUUAAUAGUUUCACGGCAAUGCCACAUGAGUUGGCAUCUUCAACUUCUUUAGUUGCACAAGAACCAUUCAGUAGUUGGCAUCCUUAUGUGUACACAUGAAUCUGAUUUUCUAGGUUUGCAGAUGCACUUGAAUGUAGUUGCACUACUUAUUUGGUAGAUUAUAAUCUUUUAAAAUUCAAUAUUUUUCAUUUUGUGUUCAGACAUGCUAAAUUCAUGUUCAUCAGUUCAAAAUUCAUUACAUAGUUGCAGAAACCUGCAACAUGAAUUGCAUCCAGGAGUACUAACAAUUGCGCAAAAUAGAUGAUGAAGUUGUACAACAGCCAGCAUAAAGUGUUUUUGGAAUUCAGCAUACAGAAGUUUAGCUAAAACCAAAAUGAAUACGAAAUUAUAUGAGUUGGCAUCUUCUAAUUCUAUAUGAGUUGAAGAUGCCAACUACUGAAAUCCAAACACCACAAGUAGAUGGAUAUGGGAGUGUUGUCAAUUUGCACACUUGUACUUUAAGUUGCACAAACACAAGCGAGAGUUGGUUCAUUUCUUCUCAGGCUUCUUUUUUGUAUCACUAGCAAUGUGCCCGUGCGUUGCAACGGAUCCAAAGUAGAAUAGUACUUGUUCACAAACUUGAAAGAAAACACUCUUGUUUUGAUAUACAUAUAUACCACUAAAAAUAUAUUACGUUUCACUCAAAAUAUAUUUCUCAGGUUGUUUUGAUGAGGCGAGGGAGGGAUGUGUUUGCUUUCAAGAUAAUAAGGGGUUUCUUCAAAUUGGAGCAGAGAAGUGGGCUAUUGUUGCAAAAAUGCCACAACUUACCUCGCAGCCAUUAGAUGUAGAUCUAAUGGUCAGAAAUGACGGAUGGCAGACACACCAUCAUCACCAACUGAGUCUUUUAUAGGAGUAGAGAUAUGCAGGUUUUACAGGGUAUGGGGGUGGAUGAGCUGCUGUAGAUUUUUGCUCACAAUUCUAAGCUACAAAGUCAUGUAUACUAGUGUGUGGAAAGAUCAAAGGAAAAAACACAUGCAAACCAGAUUCUUGUCUAGUUGGUAGCUAUGUUUUCAUAUUACCUACAAUAUACUUUUCUUUUCUUUUCCUUUUUUGCUACAUAGACAUUGGUUCUUCUGAAUUAUGUGUGAAAUAAGACUCUCUAUGUCCUCUCUCCUAUAUGUUGGCACAUUUUCUGCGUUUUGUUGCACACAUUGUUGCAAAAGUUGGCUAGUCCCAUGAUGAAGUUGCA